rnacentral:rRNA from 1 species
GAUGAACGCUGGCGGCGUGCCUAAUACAUGCAAGUCGAGCGAACGGACGAGAAGCUUGCUUCUCUGAUGUUAGCGGCGGACGGGUGAGUAACACGUGGAUAACCUACCUAUAAGACUGGGAUAACUUCGGGAAACCGUAGCUAAUACCGGAUAAUAUUUUGAACCGCAUGGUUCAAAAGUGAAAGACGGUCUUGCUGUCACUUAUAGAUGGAUCCGCGCUGCAUUAGCUAGUUGGUAAGGUAACGGCUUACCAAGGCAACGAUGCAUAGCCGACCUGAGAGGGUGGUCGGCCACACGGGAACUGAGACACGGUCCAAACUCCUACGGGAGGAAGCAGGAGGGAACUUUCCGCAAUGGGCGAAAGCCUGACGGAGCAACGCCGCGUGAGUGAUGAAGGUCUUCGGAUCGUAAAACUUUUUUAUUGGGGAAAAAAAUAUGUGUAAGUAACUGUGCACAUCUUGACGGUACCUAAGCAAAAAGCCACGGCUAACUACGG